CGGACCGGCGCACGGGUGAGUAACGCGUAUGCAACUUACCUAUCAGAGGGGGAGUAACCCGGCGAAAGUCGGACUAAUACCGCAUGAAGCAGGGCCCCGCAUGGGGAUAUUUGCUAAAGAUUCAUCGCUGAUAGAUAGGCAUGCGUUCCAUUAGGCAGUUGGCGGGGUAACGGCCCACCAAACCGACGAUGGAUAGGGGUUCUGAGAGGAAGGUCCCCCACAUUGGUACUGAGACNCGGACCAAACUCCUACGGGAGGCAGCAUG
rnacentral:rRNA from 1 species